rnacentral:miRNA from 1 species
UACAGUACUGUGAUAAAUAUUU